GGCAGAAUUAAAUCUCACGUUAUAUUUAACCCCAGCUGAAUGAUUCAGCUAGGCUACAGUAGGGCCAAGAUUAGGAGCAGGGGUCUGGAGGCAGGACUGCCCUGCUGGACUUCCUGUGCUCAUGGUUUUCAUGCUCAAGUAAUUUCUAAAGACACAGCAAAGUAGAGAGUCUCUGAAGGUCAGUGUGGGGUGAGCCAGGCCACACAGGAAGAGUCCAGCAGGGCUGGAUGGGUCACCCAGGGCUGAGUGGAGGGUCUGCAGUGUGGCCGGUCAGCAGUCAGACACCACUUGGAGGGAAAACAAAACUAACCUUAACUACAGGUGCAAGCACAGCUGGAGACCAAGCCCUGGGGUGGCAGGAGGUGGAACAAUGUAAGCAAGCAGCUAGACUGGCAAACUUUAAAGUGUGGGAGCACUGCCCAUCUCUGCUGAGCCCUUCUGACUCGUCCAGGCAUUCACAUGACAGGGAAAGUUCAAACAGGUCUAACUGCAGCACUGCAGAAUUGCAGUCCUGGCUUCCUAGAGAGAAACAGGGCAGCGGGAAAGGCACUGCUGUAACACUUAACCAUAAUGCUGGGCAGGGAGCCCAAACAGAACGUUGAAGUUAGCACCAUUUGAGCUGGAUCAAAGGUCGGCGUGAUCAGGAACAUCCAGCCAAGACUGGAGGUCUCUCAUGCGGAGAGAAUUGGUGAUGCUGUUGUGCCAGCACUGCAGAAGGACAGUGCACUCAGGACAGCCUCUCAGGCAGCUCCUCUGGCUGCCAGCUGAAGGCAAGGUAGCAUCCCUGAUACCUCACAGAAGAGAUGCCAAUGGCUGUGGCUUGUUGGGCUGUCUCUGUCAUGCAAGAGGACUGUUCAUGGGAUGGAGUGGUGGCAGUGCUGCGUUCAUCAGCUGGGCCUUCCUCCACAAGCCCCCCAUGAUCACUAUGCACCCGUUUUCCCUUGAAGACUCUGAGAUCUCCAGGAGGAGAGCUCCUGGCUCAGCAGAGGGGAGCGGCAGACUCAGCACAGUCAUAUGGGACAGCACGCCAGUAAGGAGAGGGGGAAAAGCAUGGAUAUCCAUGAAAUCCAACCACAUGAUGACAACAUGGAGGGGAAACAGCAAGAAAGAGAGCAAGAGACUUCCUUUGGAGGUCUGAAGUUAAAGUGUAUUUACACGCUUAAUAACACGCUUAUUACAGCCAUUUCCCAGUUGUUGAGUUUUGAAUACAGAGAUAAUAGAAUUUUACAAGCUACAUAAAGCCAUUAUUCUUUUGGAUCCAGAACUGGGGAGGGAGUUCAGUAGGACCCACUGAGGAAAGAAGGGGGAAGGCAACCAGGACCAAAUGGGACACACAUGUUCAGACAGGUCCCAGAAGUCAAUGUCUUCAUGCAUGCUGAUCAAACCAGAAAAAGUCAGCGUGGGUAUGUGCAAACAAGGAGUAGCAGGAGGCUCUGGAUGAGCAGUGCAGAGGGAAUGAACAUCCUUCCAUAUGGAAGUCCCUAUCAUUCAAACCCCACAGAUGACCACCUGACACAUUGGCCAACCCAAAUGGAAGUCCCUGAUGAUGCAUAUUUCCCCAUUUCCCUUCCAGCCACUAAAGAUUCAAGAAAAACAGCUCAAGAAAAGACAGAUUUGCCAGACAAAAAUCUCAGUGAGAAGAGGUGCACCAAAUUCAGGGUGUCCUGAGCCAUGCCCAUCUCCAGUAGUUUGAGAUCUGCUGUGUCUUUAGUGUUUGUGAUGCACUUACUGCUGCAUUAUCUGAAGGGCUCUGUGCUAUCUGUCACAGCAAUUGCUGGGAGCAGAAGUCUUUUCC
ensembl:lncRNA